UAAUCCGGGUUGCGGACAGUGUCUGGUGGGUAGUUUGACUGGGGCGGUCUCCUCCUAAAGAGUAACGGAGGAGCACGAAGGUUGGCUAAUCCUGGUCGGACAUCAGGAGGUUAGUGCAAUGGCAUAAGCCAGCUUGACUGCGAGCGUGACGGCGCGAGCAGGUGCGAAAGCAGGUCAUAGUGAUCCGGUGGUUCUGAAUGGAAGGGCCAUCGCUCAACGGAUAAAAGGUACUCCGGGGAUAACAGGCUGAUACCGCCCAAGAGUUCAUAUCGACGGCGGUGUUUGGCACCUCGAUGUCGGCUCAUCACAUCCUGGGGCUGAAGUAGGUCCCAAGGGUAUGGCUGUUCGCCAUUUAAAGUGGUACGCGAGCUGGGUUUAGAACGUCGUGAGACAGUUCGGUCCCUAUCUGCCGUGGGCGCUGGAGAACUGAGGGGGGCUGCUCCUAGUACGAGAGGACCGGAGUGGACGCAUCACUGGUGUUCGGGUUGUCAUGCCAAUGGCACUGCCCGGUAGCUAAAUGCGGAAGAGAUAAGUGCUGAAAGCAUCUAAGCACGAAACUUGCCCCGAGAUGAGUUCUCCCUGACUCCUUGAGAGUCCUGAAGGAACGUUGAAGACGACGACGUUGAUAGGCCGGGUGUGUAAGCGCAGCGAUGCGUUGAGCUAACCGGUACUAAUGAACCGUGAGGCUUAACCUUACAACGCCGAAG
rnacentral:rRNA from 1 species